GCGGGAAGAAGAUUCAGAACUACAGGGAAAAUAAGCAAUGCAGUCAUUUCUCAACAGGCAGGCUGUUUUCAGGGGGCACUUGGCGACCCUCGCCUUGACAGAAGUGAGGCACAGUAUGCUGUUUGUGAAGAUGAAACCCUGUACGUGUGUUCAGAGGGCUGAGAUUUAUGGAAACAUGAGGGAUUUUAAAAAGAAGAAACCUCCCUGUGCCUGGCUGCAGGGGCAGGGGCAGUGGGGCCUCUCCUCCCUGGUGGUGCCAAGAGACCUGCCUCCUGGAAGUCACUGUUAGGCAAAAGUUCCGGUCAGAACCUCGUCUGACCUUCUGUGGGUUGCGAUCCAGACACAUGGAGGAGGUUGAGGCUCCACUGGGAGGGCAGGCUUGCCGUCCAGAAAUAGAGCUGGGAUAUGGAGUGUUUGAAAAGUCCCAGGACUUCUGGGGGACAAGCCUUGAAGUGUCAUGUUCCAGAUUGCACCAGUCUCUGGAAUCUACAAUUCUGGGGCUCUGUGUCUCCUCUGCGCAUCAGUUGAGCCCAACAACAGCAACAACACUGCUUGGGGUAGUGGAGCCAGCUAACGCCUGUACUUGGAGUUGCUUGGCUUCUUUGGAAAAAUGUGACCUGUUCCAGCCGGGAGUGAGAUCCAGAGAAGGGAAAGUGCAUCUGGCACGGGCCUGCCUUCUCUCCGAGAGGGAGUGUUUCCAUGGAAGGAAACCACAUGGUUUGCCAGGUACGGUUUCCAUAGCAAUCAGUACUUUCGAUUCCUCCCCUGAGGAUUUAGUACAUGAUUUGCAUUUGUGUAAUUUCGCAUUCUGCCUUGCAGGAUCUGUGAGCGAGGAGCUGUUGCUGUUCUGUGUGCCACUGUGCCCCGGCCAUUGGUGCAUUUGUGCUGGGCUUUGGAGCUGGGUGCCCAGGGUGAGGUCUCAGAUCUACUGCUUCCUGCUGUGCUAA
rnacentral:lncRNA from 1 species